GACGAACGCUGGCGGCGUGCCUAAUACAUGCAAGUUGAGCGAUGAAGAUUGGUGCUUGCACCAAUUUGAAGAGCAGCUAACGGGUGAGUAACGCGUGGGGAAUCUGCCUUUUAGCGGGGGACAACAUUUGGAAACGAAUGCUAAUACCGCAUAACAACUUUAAACAUAAGUUUUAAGUUUGAAAGAUGCAAUUGCAUCACUCAAAGAUGAUCCCGCGUUGUAUUAGCUAGUUGGUGAGGUAAAGGCUCACCAAGGCGAUGAUACAUAGCCGACCUGAGAGGGUGAUCGGCCAAAAUGGGAAUGGGACAAGGCCCAAAAUCCUACGGGAGGCAGCAGUAGGGGAUCUUCGGCAAUGGACGAAAGUCUGAACGAGCAACGCCGCGUGAGUGAAGAAGGGUUUCGGAUCGUAAAACUCUGUUGGUAGAGAAGAAAGUUGGUGAGAGUGGAAAGCUCAUCAAGUGACGGUAACUAAACAGAAAGGGACGGCUAACUACGUG
rnacentral:rRNA from 1 species